UUCCAGCAUCAGCAGAAACACAAGAAACACACUGUACUAUGAUAAAAUGAUGACUAUGAUGUCACUAGGCAAUGGAAUUUUUUUUUUUAGUUCAGAUAUAACCUAUAUAUGCAGUCUAUUGUUGAUAGAAACAUUGCUAUUUGAUGUGUAAUUGUGUUUGCUCAACAGUAAACCAGGAGACGCAGGGACAAGAAUGAUGCUGAGAUUAGACCAGCCUGUCUUGGUUCCCCAGCCAUAAGGUGAGAAGUUUGCUCUGCCAUGCACUCCUUGCCACCAUUUGGUACUCCCAGCAGAGGGUUCACAAAAUUCUGCAGUGGAACAUCUACAACUGUGGACCAAAACAAAAAUUUACUCCAUAUGAUCACUCUGAAAUGCAACAUUUAUUAGCAUCUUGGUCUAAAGUCUACCUGCUGUUAAUGCAAACAGAUACAGAAACUUGGGGAUGUCUAUCAGGAACCUUCCACUCCUGAGCAUUAGUAAUCAGAAAAUGAUUCCAAAUGGAGCAACUGCUCAAGGCCACAUGACCUGCAGCUGUAUGAAAACAAACUUCUCAAUAAAAUGGGGAGCCUGUUCAAUAUAGUCUCUCUGUGAAGGAGUACUUGGCAGUCACUAAAUAUUAGACUUAAAAAUCAAAACAGCCAGGUGUGGUGGAACAUGCCUU